AAAAAAGUAUUUUUUAAUUCUAAAUUAGUAUUAGUUAAGUUCUUGAAAAUUAAGAAAGAUGGCGGUAUUUUAGUCUAUUCAGAGGAACCUGUCCUGUAAUUGAUAUUCCACGUUUUUAUUUACUUAUUUUUUUAGUUUGUAUAUCGCUGUAGUUGAAUAUUUUUGUUGGAUUUUAAUAUUCGAGAUUUUUUUAAGAAGAGAUAUCAGGUCAAGAUGUAGCUUAUAAAUAAGAAGAGAUGGGUUACAGUAAAUUUAUUUUUUGAUAUAUUUUGUAAUUAAUAUUGAAAAUGGAUUUGAAAGUAAUUUAUUAAAAAAAUUUUGUAGAUGAUUUUAGCUCUAAAAU
rnacentral:rRNA from 1 species